rnacentral:pre_miRNA from 7 species
GUCUAGGACCCCUGGGUGGUCCCGCAGAUUCCGGACAAGCCCACAAAUGAAAGACCCCCGAAGGGAGACCCUCAUUCAAGUCUCGGGAACGUCACGCACCCAGUAGGACACUGAGACCA